UCUCCUUUUCAGCCUCAUCUGGUUUGUGUCCUCAGAGUUCAUGAAAGCUGCUCGAAAACCCCAAGCACAGCGCAACCGACCCAAACACCAUCACAUCAUCACAUCAUCACCCGAACCCACAUCCUCCCCCAAUUUCUUAGCCUCCAAGAGCCUCUUCCCCAUUCCCAGGUAUACAUUAAACAUGCUACUCUUAAUCAUCCCCACCUAUCUCUUAGAAGCCGACCCUUUCUUCUCUUAUCUCCCCCUCACCCGCAAACCAUAAAGGAAGAAGCUCAAAGUUUUGGUUCUAAGCAACAUCACCACGAAGAUCGGGAAGCAGAGACACUCUUCAUCCUCUCUUUACUACAGAAGAAUUUUGGCAACAGAACUUACGAUUCGGGUUUUGGUUCGAGUUCCUGAAGAUGUAGAGUUGAGAUUCAUUGUUACCGUGGAAGCUGUUGCAUGGAAAUUUCUUAACAGAUUGCAGCGUACAGUCAUUCGUGCAGGGAAAAGCAUUCCCAUAGCCAAAAAAAUUCAGAGAUGAAUUUUGAAAGAGCUGUCACGUUGUCUAGAACAAGGCGUGUCCCUGUGAAGGGUUAUUAUUACAUUAUAAGCACUAAACAAUCCCUUAACUUCAUGAAGUUCCGCACCAAGGCAAGGUAUCCAUUUUUAUUUAGCACAUAUGUUCCAACAGGUAUCCAUUAAGAUUUGGAGCUCCAUGUGUUGGCUAAGGGUCAGUAAAUUUCAUGAAAAGAGGUUCUGAACCGUGUUGUGAUUCCUCAUGUCUAUAGCAUUCUGCAUCCAUCUGUAGAUCAUCAUCUUGUGCCUGGCAGGCUUUUCUCUUAUUAUAAUGGCAAGAUGGAGGGAGGACUUAGUCCCAGGUGUGCGAGUCUGUACUGCAAGUUCUGACUAAUUUUACUGUCCCUGAAUUACAGCUUCUGUUUUUACUUAAAUUCUAAUUAUACUUGCUUCAUGUUGGUCAUUGGUUUUGGUGGAAGUGAUUGGUUCACUUAGGGUUAGUGAAUUUCAUUAAAAAAGAGUCCAUUGCUUGGUCCUCAUUAAUUGCUUUUAUGGUAGAUCACUUUUGUUAUGUGUUGUGUCUGCUGAUAGGAUGCAUGAGACUGUAGACUCUUUUCUUACUUACGUACUUGAUGGUUAAUUAGAUCUCCUAUUUCUUUUCUUUUCUUCUUCUUUUUUUCUUUCUUUUUUUCUUUUUUUCUUGCUGUGCUGGUUAAAUUCCAUGAUUUAGUGUUAUAUGUGUCUUUCAAUUUAUAAUUGGUUUGAGUAAUCAGAGACAUGGUAGAUUAUUUUGAUUUAUGUUUCUGCAUUCAUAUUUUAAGAAGCCAGUGCCAAUUCAGGGCUCUUUUGUCACUUCAAGAAUUCUUUUUGGUGUUUUGUUAAUUUAUGAGUACCAAUUCAUCCUGGACCUUUACUUGGUUAUAUACUUCAAAUUGCUUUUUGCUCUGCAUUCUGUUAGAUCAAGCAUAUCUCUUUUAUCUGGGUUGCAUAUUGAGUUAUAGACUAGUCUACUAUGUAUUAAAUUUAACUUCUAUAAUGCAUUGAAGACCUAAUUCUUAAUUGGUUGGAGGAUCAACUUCUUGUGACUGUGAAAUAUGUUUAGGGUAUCAAAAUCAGGGUUUACUUCGAUGAAUAUCGGUUGAGCUAUUUAUUAUAUACAACCAUGAAUAUCUAAACCAGCAGAAGAAUUGAAGUUUAGGUCCAGCAGAAGAAUUGAACUUGCCUGAUGGUCAUUUUUAUUUUUAGCAUGCUGGUUGCUUUAGCUUUUGUCUAUGUGGGAUCAGACUUACAUUGAUGUCCAAAUUUUAGAUCUUGGGAUCAGACUUUUUAUUUUUAGAUGUUUUGCUUAUUACAAACUCUGAGUUUGAAAUUCUUCAGGUUGUUGAAAAUAGGAGAUGCCUAUUAUCAGGAGCACUUGGAACAAUGAUUGACUAUAUGCUUCAAUAGGUCCAUAUGAUUGAAGAAGGCUAAAUCUAAACUUGCACUACAUUUCGGUUACUCAUUUCCAAGCUUGACAAUCGAUUUCUGUUGUAUGGCCUUGGUUUUUAUCCUUGGUACCAGUAUCUUGAUCAUUUUUGUUGUGGAAAACAGUAUGGAACCUGAUUUACUUGUUCACCAUGUUUUCUUUACAGGAUGCACUUCUUGCCAGCUUCACUUCAUCUCUCUACCUGAAUGUCUUCAAUGGUGUGGUUAUGAACUACCUUUUCAUCUGUUGAAUGUCUUCAAUGGUGUGGUUAAGAACUACCUUAAAUUCCUUUGUUGUAUUUAGGUAACUUCUAAUAUGUUUAGGGUUUAGGGAUAUGGGUUUAAUUGAUUGAUGUAAUGAGUUCUACUAAUACAUUUUCAAUUGUUACUUUGUAAAUGAAAUUAAUUAUAAUGAGGGUAAAUGAGUAUGA